AAAUGCCGCCACCCACAUUGAGACAUGAGUUGUAAGGUCUCACUUGCUUCCCCGCCCUUCAAACUAAAACGAAUUACUGCUUCACGGCAGAAAUAGACAGGGUGGUGGUACCUUCCCAUGCGGACUCGAAAGACGUUCUACAACCAGUAAAAAUUAAAUUAGAUUAAAUCUAAAAUUGAUUAUGUGUUUUGUACAAUAUGACCAGCAUGGAUGACCUUUUAAUGCUUGUAUUCAUCACGCACUGCAAGCAACAGGGUGUGGUCGAUCUAUAAUACCUCUCACCACUCAACCCUGUGAAUUUUGUGACAUGCGCAGAGCAUCUCGCAAUUCCCUCUGAAUUCUGAAUUACGAGCGGGCCUCAUUUGACGCCGCACCGCAUCCCGAGCUGGUCGCUUCAGAGUUACGCAAUCGUCCACUGUUCUACAGUAUCCCUGGCUUCUAAAAUGACUGUGCUCAAAAUUACAUCAGAUCUAAAUCGAUUGGAUGAUAAUAUGAGAAUUCAAAGAUUAAUAAGAAUAAAGAAAAUCAGGAAGUACGGCUGAGAACAUUCUAUUGAAGUGUUAGGAAUCUCUUAGGAGGUAUACAUUUUGUUCAAGAACUGUGCGAUGUUUCGUAACCGGUAUAUUGCCGCCAUCUUGUGAUUGAAGAAUCAAAAUGGCGCACCAAACAGUGUUCGAUGUUUUAUAGAAAUCAAAUUAUAUCGCAAAAUUUAGUCCGGUUACGAAAUAUUAAGACUUUAAGACAAUUAUGGUGAAUUUUAUUGUGUACUUUAUUGUGUUACUAUUUGCUAAACAUAGGCAUUGUUUGUUUAACGUUGGUUCGAUUAAUUACAGUAAUUCGUGACCUUAUUUUUGAUGAUCCUAAAAGUGAAUCAUUUAGAGACUUGAAAAUUUAGUGAACAGUGUCUGUGUUUAACAUUGUUACUUAUGCUGCGCGAUCAAUUUUGUCUUGUUACAAAAUUGAUAAAUGUUUUAUGUAUGUAUUUUUUUAACUGAUGUAUUUUUUGUGUAUCUGUUAUGUUACAUGAAUUCGCCUUAGCAUUUGCAUUGACAGACGUUGACACAUGUGAGUAUAUUCUUGGUUUGUU